rnacentral:RNase_P_RNA from 1 species
GAAGUCGGUCAGGCAACCGCUGCGCGCGUAAAAGCGCGGGGAGGAAAGUCCGGGCUUCACAGAGCAGGAUGCCGGUUAAUGGCCGGGCGCCGCGAGGCGACGGAAAGUGCAACAGAGAAUAGACCGCCGAUGGCCGAAGGCGCAUCGCACGCGAUGCCCUUGGCGACACGGAAUGAAAAUUCCGCGCCGCUUUGCGUGAGGCUUCACAGCCUUUCGCCGGAUCAGGCAAGGGUGAAACGGUGGCCCGGAGAAAUCCGGGACGAGGGGGCGAAAAGCCUCUCUUCGGGGUAAGAGCCCACCGCGGACGUGGUAACACGGACGGCACGGCAAACCCCAUCCGAAGCAAGGCCAAAUAGGGAAGCGCAGGCGUGGCUCGCGCCGCUUCCGGGUAGGC